UAAGCAUUGCAAGAAAAAAGGCUGAAAUCAAAGUCUUCUUCCCGCUCUCUUCUUCCUCGUCAUUAUCAUUCAAUUUGUUUUUCAUUUUUUUUUGUUUCUUGUUAUUAUUCAUCUUCAUCGUCCUUAGUCUCUUCAAUGUAUUAAAUCUACUCUUGUUCAUUGAUCUGAUCAUGAUGCAACUAUAUCAGUUUUUUGUCUGUGUGUAUUACAGUAAACUAUUGGCCAACUCUCACUUUUUCACUCAUGUAAACAUCAUCCGUCAUUUUAUUCAUCAUCGCUUUUUCUCACAUCCACUCUUCUUCUUCUCUUUUCCUCUGUUCUCUCCAUUUUGAUUCUCUAACGGACCGUGAUAAUGCAACAGAUAACACCACCUUUUAACCAGAUAUUUGACUGGAAAAUUUAUCUCUAUGUUUUUAUUGACAUAGCACAUUAAACACUUAACCUGAUUCAGUCUGUUAGCUUAUGGUAAUCUCAUAUUGAAACCAAGUUUAUUAACGGGCCAUCAAUUAGUUUAGUCUAAACAGCACCAAAAGAUGUACCAAAAGAAAGUGGAACCACAAGGGAAGGGAAGGAUAACAUAAUGAAGGACAGCAAAAACACAAGACAAGACACAAAAAUGCAAAUCUAGAAAUCAAAAGAGUCCAUUAACGGAUCAAUAUUCAAUCAAGCACUGCCAAGCAACCGUGCACUGGUUUUAAAAUUCAAUUGGACCAGAACAAGACGAAUCUUGAAAUGAUGCUUACAGAUGAGGAGACAAUUAAUGCUAUGAAAUAUGCAACAAACCGUACUUUUUCAGCUGAUCUCAAGUUCGUUUUAAGACACACAUAGAUGUACAUUAAUAGCAGCAACCCUGAUAAUAAUGUCAUCAACUAAUAUGUUAUGCGUUGUGAUAUCAGCUUUAUGCUAUUUAUGUGAGUCCAACCAUAUUAAUCAACCUGCCCUUGGGUGUUAAAAUAGUUGGCCACAAUUUAUGGUGGAUAAGGAGGUUACAAAGCAUUUUUAUAUCUAUUAUUAUGAUUAUUAUUGGUGUUGUUCAAUGAGAAGCAACAAUAAAAGGAAUUGUUGUUCGGUUAAAGGUAAACUAUAUUAUUAUGACAAUUGUAAAUGACAAGCCAAACUAUAAACAGAAACCUCCUCUCAACUCAACUCCUUUCAACAUUGAAAAUAUUAUAUUUUGCUUUGGAGCAAAGAGGCAACUGUGGAGUAAAAAAUCUUGAUGUGAUUGUCUGUUUUUGACAGAUUAUACAGUAACAUAACAAUCAGUACAAACAUACAACACUGUAUUCACUUCAACUAAAGCUAAUUAACAUCAACACUUUGAUCAUCUUCAUUCUUACCAUCACCACCACAAUUAUUGUAACCAUCAUGUGUUGAAAGGAAAAAGCAGGAGAAAGGAAAAUUGGUGACAAUUUUUGGCUCUUCAUUCACACCUAUUAGCUGAAGAUGAUUAAGAAUCACACCAGGAAUCAACAAUUAGUGGAUUCAAUUUAACUUGUAAUGUUACUUUCAUACAUAUCCAUGCAAUCUUUUACAUUUUAAAUCUCGAUUAUGUAAAAUGUAAUCCACAAUGUAAUCCAUACACAAUGUACAACAAUAAUCUACUUUUCUGGAUCAUCAUUUUCAUCUUUUUCAAUCUAAUCAUUUUUUUAAUCAUAUUGAAACUGAUGGACAUCUUUUUGUUACUAUUUGCACGUGACAAUCAACAUGAAAUGAUUAGGUUAAGAUGAAGAUGAAAAUGAUGACAAAGAAACAACCGAUUGAUGUAUUUGUAAUAACAUGUCAUGGUAAAGGGCAUAACCAUGUUUUAUUUUCAAAUGUGAAUAAACAUGAAUCCCGUUGAAUGUUAA